UAGAGUUUGAUCCUGGCUCAGGAUAAACGCUGGCGGCGUGCCUAAUGCAUGCAAGUCGCACGGGAGCCCUUCGGGGUCGACCGAGGCGGACGGGUGAGGAACGCGUGGCUAACCUGCCCAACCGAGGGGGAUAACCCCGGGAAACCGGGGCUAAUACCGCAUACGCUCGACUGCGGGGACGUGGUUGAGGAAAGGGAGCAAUCCCGCGGAUGGAGGGGGCUGCGGCCGAUUAGCUAGUUGGUGGGGUAAGAGCCUACCAAGGCGGUGAUCGGUAGCUGGUCUGAGAGGACGAUCAGCCACACGGGGACUGAGACACGGCCCCGACUCCUACGGGAGGCAGCAGCAAGGAAUUUUCCACAAUGGGCGCAAGCCUGAUGGAGCAACGUCGCGUGGGGGAUGACGCGUUUCGGCGUGUAAACCCCUUUUCGGGAGGACGAAGCCAAUGACGGUACUCCCGGAAGAAGGACCGGCUAACUACGUGCCAGCAGCCGCGGUAAGACGUAGGGUCCGAGCGUUGUCCGGAGUUACUGGGCGUAAAGCGCGCGCAGGCGGUUCGAUACGUCGGGUGUGAAAGCCCCCCGCUCAACGGGGGAGGGUCAUUCGAAACGGUCGGACUGGAGGCAGGGAGAGGUCGGUGGAAUUCCCGGUGUAGUGGUGAAAUGCGUAGAGAUCGGGAGGAACACCAGUGGCGAAGGCGGCCGACUGGACCUGGCCUGACGCUGAGGCGCGAAGGCGUGGGGAGCGAACGGGAUUAGAUACCCCGGUAGUCCACGCAGUAAACGAUGUGCACUAGGUGUGGGGGGUAUAGACCCCCUCCGUGCCGGCGCUAACGCAGUAAGUGCACCGCCUGGGGAGUACGGCCGCAAGGCUAAAACUCAAAGGAAUUGACGGGGGCCCGCACAAGCAGCGGAGCGUGUGGUUUAAUUCGACGCAACGCGCAAAACCUUACCAGGGCUU
rnacentral:rRNA from 1 species